rnacentral:rRNA from 1 species
UACAGAGGGUGCGAGCGUUAAUCGGAAUUACUGGGCGUAAAGCGCGCGUAGGCGGUUUUGCAAGUCGGGUGUGAAAUCCCCAGGCUUAACCUGGGAACUGCAUUCGAGACUGCAUUACUAGAGUAUGGGAGAGGGAAGUGGAAUUUCCGGUGUAGCGGUGAAAUGCGUAGAUAUCGGAAGGAACACCAGUGGCGAAGGCGGCUUCCUGGACACCAACUGACGCUGAGACGCGAAAGCGUGGGGAGCGAACAGG